GAGAGAUGUUGAUAAUUUCUUUUAAAACAUCAAUAUAAUGUCGUCCUCAAACUUUCACGUUCUCCUGAGAGGUUCCAUACGUGGGAGUCAUGCGACUCGCCUCCAAAUCUACCAUUUACUGCCCUUAUCUGCAUUUUGUGAUCGCAUAUCUAAAAAAAAGUUUUAGGUCAUUGCACUGGAAUCAAUAUAAUUUACGAUUAAAAAAUAAGUGUUAAUUCCGUGAUUCAUUUCCCAUCAAUCACUCCAAUUACGCCUGGAAUUCCGGACGUCAAGUAAAA